GCAUGGGCGAAUUCUGUGUCACUCUGUCAGUAGUAAACCCAGUCAGACACCAUGCUAAAGCAACCUUUGACACUUCAACUUGAUUAAUGGAAGACUUCUGAACUGUCUUGUCUGAGAUAUGAGGGUGAAUACAACA